CCUACGGGAGGCAGCAGUGGGGAAUAUUGGGCAAUGGGCGCAAGCCUGACCCAGCAACGCCGCGUGAAGGAAGAAGGCUUUCGGGUUGUAAACUUCUUUUUUCAGGGACGAAGAAAGUGACGGUACCUGAGGAAUAAGCCACGGCUAACUACGUGCCAGCAGCCGCGGUAAUACGUAGGUGGCAAGCGUUAUCCGGAUUUAUUGGGUGUAAAGGGCGUGUAGGCGGGUGCGCAAGUCAGAUGUGAAAACUCAGGGCUCAACCCUGAGCCUGCAUUUGAAACUGUGUUUCUUGAGUGCUGGGGAGGCGAGCGGAAUUCCGUGUGUAGCGGUGAAAUGCGUAGAUAUACGGAGGAACACCAGUGGCGAAGGCGGAUUGCUGGACAGUAACUGACGCUGAGGCGCGAAAGCGUGGGGAGCAAACAGGAUUAGAUACCCCGGUAGUC
rnacentral:rRNA from 1 species